UACAGAGGUCCCAAGCGUUAUUCGGAUUCACUGGGCGUAAAGGGUGCGCAGGCGGCCAGGUGUGUGAGGCGUGAAAGCCCGGGGCUUAACCCCGGAAUUGCACCUCAAACUACAUGGCUAGAGCAUUGGAGAGGGUAGCAGAAUUCAUGGUGUAGCAGUGAAAUGCGUAGAUAUCAUGAGGAAUACCAGAGGCGAAGGCGGCUACCUGGACAAUUGCUGACGCUCAGGCACGAAAGCGUGGGGAGCAAAAGGG
rnacentral:rRNA from 1 species